CUCUUUGCGUUCAGCCUCUUUACGGUGCUGCCUUGUGGCGUCUCGAUCAAGCAGCAUUGUACAGGGCUAUGAAGGCUCAGAG
rnacentral:pre_miRNA from 1 species